AAAGAAAUCUUGAGAGCACUUUCCAAUCUCUUGAUGAGCUUGAGUCCACAAACUUAACUACCGGUUCUAAAUGUUGAACGUGAAUAGCAUUUGCACGAAAGGUAAUUGGGCUUCCUUUUUCAAGCUCUGUUGAGUUUUGUUGAGCUCAAAUAUCACUUUGUUGAAUUUUAAAACACAGAAGAAAUUAUAAUUUUAUUGAUGAAAUAAAUUUUAUACAGUUUUGCACACACACCAAAAAUCUUAACCAAACACACUAGAGCAUCUCACCAAUUAUUUCCUCUCACCAAGCACUAUCUCUCUUCUCACUUCACUCUCUACCUCUUGGCUCUCCUGUCACUCUCACUUAUUCUCACACUUCUCACUCUUCACUCUUCUUUCACACUUACGUACAAAAUAUAGCAACACACAUAUAUAUAGACAUCCAAGGUCGGUGGCUUCAUCUUCUACCAAAUUCUAGCAUGUCGGUGAAGUGGCUGUCUUCAAUCUUCUAGAGAAUUCACGGUGGUGAAGGUAAAUUAUUCAGCAAGCUUCUAGAUUCAUCUUCAAUUCCAGACUUUUUCUGUUAUGCUAAUGAACUCCAAUUUCCAGCAGCUUCCAAAUUAUUUUCAAAAGGCGGUGCUGGAUUCUUCAGGCUCCAGUAAACAUCUUGUUGAAGCUACUGACCAAGAAAUAGCACCAUAUAAGAAUGGAGAAACAAUUGUAGAAAUGGAAGACAAAUGGAAAUUUUUCAAGAAGUAAAAGGAAGUGGAAUGGGAACCAUCUCGUACUGUUCAAAGAAGAUGAUGAAAAUGAAGGGGUUCCAUGGUGAGGACGAUUUUACCCUUGUUGAUUGGAAAGAAAAUGGCAUCUUUUUCUUAAUUAACGGAAGAACUGACGGAUGUUGGACGGAAGGACGUUCGUCGCAAUGAAACGUUGAAAUGAGGGCAAAAAUGCAAAAAAAUGAAAGGUGGGGACGUUUUCCACAAUGAAGGUGAAAGGGAGGGACGUUUUGCGCCAAUUACCCUUUUUUUUAAAGUGCUUGGAUGUCCCUACACGAAAGCAGGUUAAACUGAUGGCCUACAAACUAAGAGGGGCCUGCUUCAGCUUGGUGGGAGCAGAUUCAGCAUAAUCGACGAAGCUUCGCAUUCAGGCUCGGUUUUGUAUGUGGAAAUUAUUGAGGGAUAGGUUCUUUCCUAGUAAUUAUAACCAAAUUUUACAUCAAAAGUAAACGAGGCAAUUGAAGAGUAGAGUUUUAUCGUCUUUGCACAAGGAUCAAAUUAAUUUAGGGACUAUCUGGUAGCAAUUAAUUGCAAAUUUUAAGCAAAAAUUUUACUAUUGCUUGAUGUCAUUGUGGACUUUUUUCUCACAAAAGACUUUCACAUGGGAUCCACUAACGGUUGAAAAAUCCAUUAUUUUGCACCCCUAAAAUCAGGCCCAAACAAGCACUUAGUAUGAACCGUUACAUGUAGCUUUGUAUAUAGAUGGAUUGAAGAAGUCAAUUCAAGUGGGGAUCGAAGUGAAAUCAAUCUAUACAUUGACCACGUGUUUGAUAUUUGUUGGAAAUUGGUUUUAAAACUAAGGAAAUCUAUACACUAACGGUUGAAAAAUCCAUUAUUUUGCACCCCUAAAAUUAGGCCCAAACAAGCACUUAGUAUGAACCGUUACAUGUGGCUUUGUAUAUAGAUGGAUUGAAGAAGUCAAUUCAAG
rnacentral:lncRNA from 1 species